UCCCCCGUGGCCUAGUGGGUAAGAGCUUUGACUCUCACCCACAACACCCAGGUUCGAUUCCUCCCAGGGUAA